AGAGUUUGAUCAUGGCUCAGGACUAACGCUGGCGGCGUGCCUAACACAUGCAAGUCGAACGGGGUAGCAAUACCUAGUGGCAGACGGGUGAGUAACACGUGGUCAACCUGCCUUUGUGAGGGGGAUAACUAGCCGAAAGGUUAGCUAAUACCGCAUACGAUCGCUCGGGGGCAUCUCUGAGCGAUGAAAGGAGCAAUCCG
rnacentral:rRNA from 1 species